rnacentral:rRNA from 1 species
CAGUAUUUUGACUGUGCAAAGGUAGCAUAAUUAUUAGUUUUUUAAUUGAAAGCUUGUAUGAAGGGUUGGACGAGAUAAAAUCUGUCUUUAUUUAAAUUAAAAUAUAAUUUAACUUUUAAGUAAAAAGGCUUAAAUGUUUAUAAAAGACGAGAAGACCCUAUAGAUCUUUAUUUAAUUGAAAUUUUAAUAAUUUAGGAUUAUUUUAAUUUAAAGUUUUAAUUAAAUUUUAUUGGGGUAAUAUAAAGAUUAAAUUAAUUCUUUUUAUUUAUAACAUUGAUUUAUGAAUAUAUGAUCCAUUAAUAUUGAUUAUAAGAUUAAGUUACCUUAGGGAUAACAGCGUAAUUUUUUUGGAGAGCUCAUAUCGAUAAAAAAGUUUGCGACCUCGAUGUUGGAUUAAAAAUUAGCUUGGGUGCAGAAGCUCAAGAUUUUGGUCUGUUCGACCAUUAAAUUUUUACAUGAUCUGAGUUCAGACCGGCGUAAGCCAGGUCGGUUUCUAUCUUUAUUAAAAUAAAAUAUUUUAGUACGAAAGGACCAAAUAUUUAGUAUAAUUAUAUUUAUUUUUUGAAGAAUAUU